AUGAAGGCUUUCGGGUCGUAAAGCUCUGUCGAGGGGAAAGAAGUGUAAGGAGGUUAAUACCCUCUUUACUUGACGGUACCCCUAAAGGAAGCACCGGCUAACUCCGUGC
rnacentral:rRNA from 1 species